rnacentral:lncRNA from 1 species
ACCAGGUGGAACAGGGAACUCCUAGAACCCAGCAAGCUUUUACAGGUUUCCUGGAGAUGCACCUCUGGGGAGAAAUCCAUCUGCAUUCCGACGCAGGUAGCCUGUGAGCCCUGUGAGGGCAGGGACUGGGUCUGUCCAGCUUGUGGUUGUAUGCCAGGUGGUGGGCUCAGAGGUACUUAGGCAGUUGGAACAAGUCCCGAAGUCGCUAGGUGGGAAACGAAGCAUCUGGCACUUGGAGCAGGUGGUUGGAUCCACCAGCCAAAGGCUUGCAGAGCAGCUGUUUGGCUGUCUCCUGUCUAGCAGCUUUCUGAUUGUUCUAGAAAAGACAGGUAGUUGGCUCUUUAUUAUGAGACCUCCAACUUUAUGUCUUUGGCCCCCAGUUAAGGUUUGUAUCAGUGUGCCCACGGGAAGCACUACAAAUCCUUGAGGUGUACCCAGCUCACAGGUCAACUCUGGUACUCGCGAGGUACUAAUUGCAAUAAAACCGUGCAGUCAGGCAUCCUGGGCACCAAUCUUUAGCCCGCGGAAUCCUCACCUUGCACGAGUGGCGGGGGGAAAGCCCUGUCCCACGCUUGCUUUCCAUGCAAUGGAUGUGGAAUUCUGAGAUGAGAAGUGACUUGCCCAAGGUCCCAGAGAGGAAAUGGUGGAGCUGGGCCCUGGCUCCAGAGCUGGUGCUGGUAACCUGUAUCCUAGCUGCUAAAACAAACUGCAUCAUCGGCAGAAAUGAGUAAGUAGGCAUAGCAGGAGCUGGAUCUCGCACUACCAAAGACUCUGGUUGAAAUAGCAAUCCCUGGUAAUAUUCCCCUGAGCAGGAAAGGGGGACACCCACCAGCUCUGCCUCACUCCUGCUGCCUAAGUUCAAGGUCUGCGGUGACUGCUUAAUCAGUUGAUGACAUCCUGUCCCUCUUAGCUCCUGUCCUGGGUAUUUCAUUUCUUAACAAAGUAUUGUUAGAAUUUUAUUAAAAAAUAGUUUUAAAAUGGAAUUUCAUAGUUUUUAAUAUGGUUUGUAUCAGUGUGCUGCCAUUUGUGGUCAAAAAUUUUAAAAAUAAUAAAUGCUUUUAUUAUCUUAGCACUCCCUUUCACGUAUUGGAGGCAUUUUCCCCGAAUAACUCUCAUGGUCACCCUCCCAGUGCCCAGCAGAGACCUGGUACAUUACAUGGCAAACAUUGGGCCAUUAUUUGUUGAAUAGCAAGUUAUUUAAAAAGUGUUAAUUAAAAAUGAAUGGUUA